rnacentral:rRNA from 1 species
GACGAACGCUGGCGGCGUGCUUAACACAUGCGAGUCGAACGGAAAGGGCCUGCUUUUGUGGGGUGCUCGAGUGGCGAACGGGUGAGUAACACGUGAGUAACCUGCCCUUGACUUUGGGAUAACUUCAGGAAACUGGGGCUAAUACCGGAUAGGAGCUCCUGCUGCAUGGUGGGGGUUGGAAAGUUUCGGCGGUUGGGGAUGGACUCGCGGCUUAUCAGCUUGUUGGUGGGGUAGUGGCUUACCAAGGCUUUGACGGGUAGCCGGCCUGAGAGGGUGACCGGCCACAUUGGGACUGAGAUACGGCCCAGACUCCUACGGGAGGCAGCAGUGGGGAAUAUUGCACAAUGGGCGGAAGCCUGAUGCAGCAACGCCGCGUGCGGGAUGACGGCCUUCGGGUUGUAAACCGCUUUCGCCUGUGACGAAGCGUGAGUGACGGUAAUGGGUAAAGAAGCACCGGCUAACUACGUG